rnacentral:rRNA from 1 species
UACGUAGGGCGCAAGCGUUAUCCGGAAUUAUUGGGCGUAAAGAGCUCGUAGGCGGUUUGUCGCGUCUGCUGUGAAAGACCGGGGCUCAACUCCGGUUCUGCAGUGGGUACGGGCAGACUAGAGUGCGGUAGGGGAGACUGGAAUUCCUGGUGUAGCGGUGGAAUGCGCAGAUAUCAGGAGGAACACCAACGGCGAAGGCAGCUCGCUAGGACGGUACUGACGCUGAGGCGCGAAAGCGUGGGGAGCAAACAGGAUUAGAAACCCCAGUAGUCCCUGAGACUACCAAGGCACACA